UAUGGUUAAGAAUAAAUGCUAACCAUCAUCUGGGCUUUCAGCAGGUUGUCAUGUUUUGGCUGGCGGAGGGUCUUGAUGGCUGCUGCGUGACCAGGGUGGUGGUUGCUAGGAUGUCUGUGGCAGUUUCUUAAAAUAAGACAACAAUGAAGUUGGCCACAACAUUCACUCUUCCUUUCACAAUUUCUCUGUAGCCUGUGAUGCUGUUGGAUAGCAUUUUACCCAGAAAACUUCUUCCAAAAGGAGUCAAUCCUCUGGCUGCUGCUUUGUCAACUAAAUUUAUGUAUUCAACACUUUGUUGUCAUUUCAACAAUCUUCACAGCAUCUUCACCAGUCGAUUCCAUCUCAAGAAACCAGUCAUCACCAUAACAAAUACAAUAAUAAUGAAAAAGUUUGAAGCACCUCAAGAAUUACCAAAACAUGACAAGGACACAGUGAACAAAUCCUAUUGGAAAAAUGGCACCCAAAGACUCCCUCAACAUAGGAUUGCCACAAACCUUCCAGGUGUGAAAAAGAGAAGCACAAUUCAGUGAAACUCAAUAAAACAAGGUGCAAUGUUAAUGAAAGAAGAGAGAAACCGAACUCCACAAGCUCCCACUGCUUCAUGGAACUGUCCACGUGCAUCUGAGCCCCUUCACUGCCCUUCACUCCUGUUACUGUGGGUGUUCCAUCAAAGACAGGCUUUGCCUCCUGUGCCCUACAGAAUUACCCCCUCUCUUCCUAAGAAUGCCACUCUGGCAGGUCUCCCAUCUCAUUCCCACACCUUUUCUCUCGACUAGAUUUUUCCCAUCAACCUACAGACCUACUAUCACUUUUCUACUGUCUAAGACAACCUUCUCAACCUUCGGUUGCUGUAGUUUUUUCCCCUUCUCUUGGGCUAGAGCAAAACUCAAAUGAUUAUAUGCGCUGAAUGCCGAUUUGUUCUAAUACCCUCUUUGAACCACUCCAGUCAUGUUCUCACCUCCACACUCCACAAACACAGAUCUUCUCAUCCAGGUCACCUCCACAUUGUUCAGCCCGGUAGCCACUUCUUCAUCGCUGUCUUCCGUGAUUUUCCGCCAUUUUUAGGCUUAAUCAUCAACUCCCUCUUUCCCAGAUCACUUUCUCCUUCAGGCUUCCAGAAUACCGAGCACCCAUGUUGCCCUCGACCACACUACUAGCUGCUCCUUUCCAACUUUCUUAUAUGGUUCCUCUUUACAUCUCUGGCCUCUCAUUUUGGAGAUCCCCAGAGUUCAUCCAGGGGCUUAGUGUCCAUCCAUGUUUUCUCCUCUGGGGCUCAUAUGCAGCAUCAUGUACACACUGCGUAAGUGGAGGAACACCAACGAAAUGUCUCCAGCCCAGACCUCUCUCCCGAACUCAGGCUCCUGACACAUCUGUCUCCCAGCGUUUCUACCUAGAUGUCUAACAGGCAUCUCCAAUUUUCUAUGUGCAACAUCAAACUCCGGAUCUGCCCCUAAAAACCCACUCUUUCACAGGUUUCCUGUCUUGGUUAAUGGAAACUCUAUCCUUCUGACUCCUCACCAGGACAAAACCCUCAGAGACAUUCUUGACUCCACCAUUUCUCUCCUAAACAAACUCAGUCUGUCAGCGGGUCCUCAAACAGAACCGCAAAAGCAUUUCUAGAAUCGGACCACUCUCACCAUUUCUACUUCUGUAACCCUGGCCUAAGCCACUAUUGCUAGUGCCAGGAUUAUUGCCAGAACCUCCUAACUGGCCUUCCUGCUUCCCCUCCCUCCCAACCAGUCUGGUCUUGGUGCAGCAUUGAAACAUUGACCGGAUCAAGUCAGUCCUCUGCUCAAAACCUUCCACGUCCUACCUAUUUCACGCAAAGACAAUUUCCGUGUGACGGGUUACAAGGGCAUUCACAGCAUACCCCUUCUCCCUUGUACUGUUACCUCUUCUUUGUCUCCACCUUUCCUCUGCUCCAUUGACACUAGCCUCCUUGCUGCUCCUCAAACAUGGAAGAUGAGCUUCUGCUUCAAGGCCUUGCAACUCUUUCCUCUUGGCCUAGAAUGCUCUUCCCCCAUUUAUCCUCAUGGAUCAUCCCUUCAUCUUCUUCAGAUCUGGACUCAAAUGUCACUUUUUCAUUAAGGGCCUCCCUGACCACAGUAUUUACCAAUGUUAAGCACUCUCCCUCUCCACCCCGCUCUCCUACAGUCUCUAUCACUUCCUUUAAUUUCUCUCUAGCACCAUCUCCUUCCGAUACACAUAUGUAUUACUUAUCUGUCUGCUGUCGGUUUCCUGCUAGUAUGUAACAACAGGAGCAUGAGGAUUUCUGUCUUGUUGACUGCUAUAUCCCCGGUGUCAAGAACAAUGCCUAGUAAAUAGUAAGAGUUUAGUUACUAUUUGCAGAACGAACAUAGGAGUUAUGUCAGUCCCUGUCACACACUCAAGCUUCAAAGAGAUGGGAACCACAUCUUAACUAUCUUUGUAAUAAAUGACUGACUAAAUGGAAGAAAGAAGAACUGAUCUUCAGUUUAAUGAAGGUACUUACUGAAGGUAAUGCAUUCAAUUGUCCUUUUCAUUUUUAAUGCAAAUACUUGAUCUCCCCUGAACAAAUCAGGUCAGCUAUUCCCAAACAAUGUUACCAACUGCCUUUUCUUCCUUUCUUAAAUUUUCCCUCAAUCAAGAGCAAAGAUUACAAUAGGCAGAGCAUGCAAUAAAAGUAUAGUGAUUAAACAAUGCUUACCAAAUCAAAAAGAGGAAACAUUCAAACCUUGAGAGGUAAUACAAACAUUGUUGCACAACUCACUUAUGAUUUUUCUUGUCCCAAGAAAGGUUAAAGAAACAGAUAUGACUCAGAAGGAAGGAAAAAACCCACAGAUAUGUUGGUUUAAUCAUAUGAUUUCUAAAAUACACUCAAUAAAUGAGGGCAAAUUUUGACCCUUCUGAUAUGAAGACCGCAUGUUAUUAAAUAAAGAGCACUUCCUAUUCACCUAAAUAUAUUUCUAGAGAAAAUUUCAGGGCUUGGAAAAGUCCAACAACUUAUUUCCCCCAAAAUGACAAGUUCACACUUUUAUCUUUUUAAUUUAUAUUAAACUUUUUCAAUUUAUUUCACAUGAAAACUUACAGAGGAAGUUGACUAUGAGGCCAAAGACCUGAGUUCUUUUCUCAGAACCCAUGCACACAUGGGAGAUUUUCUGCCCACUUCCCACAGCAGCAGGUCCCCCCUUCCAGCCCCCUCAGAGGAGGAACAAGGACAGUCCCAAAGGGUAGCAGGUGGAGAGGUCCAUGGUCACCACUGCUGGGAACAGACGUCGCAGGGCUCAUCUGCCGAGCACAUAACUAUUCAUCAGUCACCUCUGUGGUGGGGCUGAGAGCAAGGUUGAGGAGGACUCGGUAUCACAGUGCAGGUAAGGAGGGGUGGCAGUGCCCAUCACCAGAGGAGUAGGCCCUUACAAGAAAUAACAACUUACCAAUAGAAAAUUCACUGUGUUAGACACAAUGAUAACUGUGUCAGAGUACAUGGGUUGCAGGGAAGGUUGACUGUGAGAGAAAACUUGAUUAAGCGAAUCAUAACCAAGAAGAAACACAGUAGUGACAUCACGCAUUAAUCGGAUCAUUCACAUUACACCAGUUGGUGUCUAAAUCCCUUUUCCAGAGCAUAUUGUACACAGAAGACCAGUUGCUCAGUGUAUAAGACAUGCCUAUCUUUUUAUAUAAUAUCCCUUUCCCAUCACAGAAGAUUAUGACUAAUAGCCAUUUGCCUUCCACUAAAAUGUGUUCCAGUUUGGCCAAGAAAUUAUAUGAGGGCCUUACCUAAAACGCUGUCUUUGCUAUGGAACAUUAAGCUUUGGCUGUGAAGCUGGCAAAAUUAGUGCUGUAAUUGUCCCGUAAGUAUAUGAGUGACCACACUGGUCAGAUCGCCCUUUUUCCCUUACAGAGAAGCCAUGAAUCUGGCAAUGUAAACAAAAUGAGGAGGGCUUUGAAUAAUCAAAGAAUCCACUCUGUUCCUGUACAUUCUUUUGAAUCUGCUAUUUACACACUCGGCCAUGAUCAACUUUGGAAUAAUGGAGAUUCUCUUGCCAGCCACCAGGGAUUUUAAAUGUCACAAAUAGUUAUGAGAAAAAGUCUCACACUUGUAUCUUUUUUUUUUCUGGCUUAUUAGACGAAAGUAGAGGUAGGGCUUUGAAUAAAGAGCUAUUUAUUUUUAAGUUAAUAGUACAAAAGGCCCUCUUUUCAUUAAAGUCCCACCCCGCCCCCACUACCAAGCCUAGAAUUUAUUAGAACUAGCAUAGAGUAGAAAAGCAGACAGCAAGCACUCAACUGAAAUCCAGGGUCCCCUGCCACACUUCCCUCCCUUACUCUCCCAAAUAACGGCUUCCUAUUUUGACUCUGUGACAAAGUCAGUGGGAGAGCUCUUAGGAGUCGGGUGGGUGAAUGCUCACCAGGAGGGUUCACCCAGGACAGCAAGUUGCAAGGCAGAUCUACUUACCCACACUCCGAUAGCAGCCCCCUAACUUGGGGAUGCCACAGAUUGCAGAGCCCUGGUCUCCCACCCCACAUUGUCCCAGCCCAUCUGAAGUAUGUAUCCACAUGCUCUUGCCCCACAGGUAGCAAU